rnacentral:rRNA from 1 species
AUGUUGGAUAUUCAUGCUGCUGUUGCCCUUGCUGUUGUGGCAAUUCCAGAAGGUCUCCCAGCUGUAGUAACAACCUCUUGCAACCAAGAGAAUGGCUGGCUUGAAUGCAAUUGUCAGGUCUUUGCCCUCUGUGUAGACACGACAGUUAUUUGCAGUGACAAAACUGGUACUCUUACGACAAACAUGAUGUCUGUGUCCAAGGUGAAUAUUCCAGUUUAUAGCGCCAUUUAUCAUUUAGGUGGCCUUUUUCAUUUUAUUUUCCUUUUUGAAAGAAUAAGCACGCGGUGGGAUUUAACUAAAAUACAAUACGCAUUUGAGAUGAUAGUCUUUUUUUACACUGAAGAUUAUAGUCUUUUUUUUUACAUUGAAGAUUAA